rnacentral:lncRNA from 1 species
ACUGCACAGAACAGACAUUGUGACAUAUAUCUAGGCAAAUUGCCUAGAAGUGAAUCCCCUCUCCUGCUUAAGUCCUUCCCACAGAGAGCGGUUUGAUAUGUCACUGAAACCAGCAUCCAGGUGGUAUUGCUCCAUAUGCCUGAGACCCUAACAAAAGCCUAAUUACAACUCAUAUGCCUGGAGCCAGGACAUGUGCAGGAUGGUGAUGUAACUUUCCUCUCUGGAAUGGGUCCUGCACAAAGGAAUGAUAGUAACAUAUUGCAAAGCCAGACACACAGCCAUGAUGGUCCAAGUUAUAUUGGGAUUCAGCCAAUAGAAGAUAUUUUGCCUGUCAUCCCUAAGCUUAGGACAAUAGGAACAUUGUGACAUUGCUGGACGUAGCAUCUAGGAAAUGUACUCUCCUCUCCUGCCUAGGCCCUGCCCACUAAAGGAAUUGUGACAUACCACUGAGUGCAAAACCUAGGGUCCUGCCCACAAGAAAGAUUGUGACAUCUCACUGGACAAGCACCCACCCAGACUCUGCCAAGAGAGGGGAUUAUUACAUAUUGCAGAGCCCAGCACCUAGGUGGAGUGACUCUCAUCUUUUUCUUCUACCCCGUAUAUAGCCAGCUUGGUGACCUACUAUUUGAGUCUAUACCCAGGCCCAGACCACAGAUGAAAUUGUGCAAUAUGUGGAACAAACACCUAAACAAUAUAUAACACCUUCCUUGGCUCUGUCUACAAAGGGCACUUUUAUAUAUCACUGGGACCAUCAACCAGGUGAUGUUGUGCCAUAUAACUGAGACCGUAUCAAAAGCCUAAUAACAAGACGUAUGUCUGGAGCCCCGAUAUGCACAGGAUGGUGAUAUAACCCUCUUCUCUGGAAUGGGCCCCACACAAAGGAAGGAUAGUGACAUAUUGCAAGCCCAGGCACACAGGCCCAGAGCACAGUUGAAAUUGUGACAUAUGUACACCAAGCAACCAAGCAAUGUAUAACACCUCAUUUGGCAAUGGAAUCGAGGGCACUUUUACAUAUCACUGAGACCAGCGCCCAGCUGAUGUGAAAUAUUGGCCUGAACCCUGCCUACAAAAGCAUUGUGGCUUUUAUCUAGCUCCAUUACAUAAGUGAUGUGACUUCCUUCUACUGCCUUGGCCCUGCACUUAUGGUGAAUCGUGACACAAAAUUGGGUAGAGCAACCA